rnacentral:rRNA from 1 species
CUACGGGGCGCAGCAGUGGGGAAUAUUGCACAAUGGACGAAAGUCUGAUGCAGCAACGCCGCGUGGAGGAUGACACAUUUCGGUGCGUAAACUCCUUUUAUAUAAGAAGAUAAUGACGGUAUUAUAUGAAUAAGCACCGGCUAACUCCGUGCCAGCGAGCCGCGGUAAUACGGGGGGUGCAAGCGUUACUCGGAAUCACUGGGCGUAAAGCGCAUGUAGGCGGACUUGUAAGUUGGAAGUGAAAUCCCAUGGCUCAACCAUAGAACUGCUUCCAAAACUGCUUGUCUAGAAUAUGGGAGAGGUAGAUGGAAUUUCUGGUGUAGGGGUAAGAUCCGUAGAGAUCAGAAGGAAUACCGAUUGCGAAGGCGAUCUACUGGAACAUUAUUGACGCUCAGAUGCGAAAGCGUGGGGAGCAAACAGGAUUAGAUACCCUAGUAGUC